UCUGCCCGCGGGGCAUGCCGGGAUUGCGCGCCGGUUAGCCUCCCCGACACUGAGCCGCGGAGGGGCUAGCCUCGGACCGCCCAGCUCUCGAGUGCGUGGUGGUUUCGCCGCUUGAAAGUUCCCGUGAUGAGUACUUCGAAAACAGACGCCAGGGAACAAAACCAUCCCUAACUACCCGGCCAUUAGGAAAUACGGAAAUGUUACUAGCAGUCCUUUAUGUCGCCUACUGCUCAGCUCGCGCUCAAAUUUCCUUGAUGGUUUCAAGGGUGCCGUCUUAGCAACUGCCAUCAGGGGCUAACCUAGGCUCGCACUGUGUCUGAUGAGGAUGCACUCGGGGUUCUGUUUUCCAGUGGUCUUUAUUCGUUUCUUUUUAGGCUGUUGACUUACUGAGGAAAUACCUUGUUAUGGGUAUGCCUCAGAUGUGGCCCAUGGUGUUGUUACGGAUCUGGUCCAUAAUUUAUGCUGCUUAUUCGCUUUAUUCGCCCUGUUUCUUGAAAAUGUAUAGUUAGGCAUAGAGGCGGAGAUUCUGAUGACUUUUAUUUUUAAAUGUUGUAUGCAGUAGUGAUGGUCGGGCGUGUACUUGGUCUUGCAUCUCGACAGGAGCAUGUGAUGUUGACAUGUGAAGUAUGUGUCACCGGGUCAGCAUCCUGACACCUCCAGUGUCAAGCCUUUCCAAACCUUCCACCUAAUGGUUUUCGGCACUAACGAACAUUUCCCAGGUAGAAGGCCUGGGGGUAUGGUUGUAUUUAACCCUUGGUUCAUGAGUUAGUAAGGACGGUCUCUGGUGGCCAACCUCUGUGCUUCCUGCCAGAGAAUUAAGAGAAAGAAAGGCAAAGAAAAGGAUAAAAGGAGCGUUGAUUCUGAGUCUCUGGAUCAUUGGAUUCCUUAUCCAGGCGUUUUCCAAAGUGCAGUUCCUUGAGCUAACAAAAUCCUCAGGCAAGGCUGAAGUUGUGUUUCCUCACCGAAUGGUUCUUCCGGAGCCCUGCAGUGCUGGUUCUGAGUCCUGGUCUCCAGGGCUGCCGCCCUACAGCAAAGCAGUGUAGACUUUUGUAGAAUCCAGUGGACAAGCAGAAACAGCCUUUCUUCCUCUCCAUACCCUCGGUUGGAGUGAUUCUCCCUGGAUAUUUUCUACACGUUGUUUUCGAGGCACGUGUAGCAGCUCUGGCUUGUCCUGAAUUCUCCACCAACCCCAUUCCUCCGCCUUUCCUCCUCCCCUCCCUCUUGAUGGCCAUAUUUGGGAAGACUCCAGUGGUCAUGAAGGACUCCUGGAAAGAACUAUAGAUGCCAGCCUGACCUUCAGCUGACCUCCCUGAAAGAAGCUGGUUUUGCCGCCACCUCCUCGCACCUCGAUCUCAACGUUCCUUUAGUCUACAUAAUUCUAAAACUUCUCCUGUGAAUCGGCUGUAACACCUACCAUAUGUCUCUUUUGAUUAAUAUAUAACAUAAAAUCUCUGAUGCAUUUUAUUGAUCCACACAAGAGGCAUGUUUUUAAUUAAGAAAUAGUUUUGUAUAAAUUUGGAGUUCUUCCACUGAGUUUCCCAGUGGAUUCAGCUAACAAAACAGAGUAUAUUUUUAAUCAGAGAAAGUACAGUUUCUGUUCUAAUUAAAGCUCAGACAUAUUUUUCUUCGUUUCUAAAUGACAAUAGAAAUUUGAUGACUUUCUCAUUUAAAUAUUCUCUGUUAAUUUACAGUUUCUUUGUUUUGUAACUGUUGAAUCAGUGCUCACAGUCGAUAGCAAUAACUGGAAAUUUGGUGUUACAAUUUAUUGAGUAAACUCUAUGACUAAUGAUUUUUAGAGAUAUAGUCUCUGUUGUGUAAAAUCCUCCAGAAAAACUUAUCUUUCUAUGACUUUCAUCUACUUCAGACUCAAUCAGGUAAAGAUGUUGUGCUCACUAGCAGGGACCUCUAAGA